UGAACAUUUUCAGUGGGAGGUUGUUGGAUAUUACCUCCAGUUUGAUUUGAAGGAUGAGCAGCAGUCAUAUGAUGAAAAAGUGCAGCAUAAUUAUUGAAAGAGUGCUUUGUAGGAUCAGUGAAGGAUAUCAUUCAAGUAGACAAAUGUGGAAGGAUACUCAAGGAAUUAUAUGUGAAAGGAUAACCACUUUCUCUUUGUGUCUGAUGAAAAGAAAUGAUGAAAUACGUAUAAG